UUGCAUCAAGAUUCCAGACACAAAGUGCCAAUACAUCAAAUGGUAUAAAAGAAAGGCUACAUUACUCAGAGAGGUAAAAUCUUGGAUCUGCUUUAUCAAGCAUAGCAAAGAAUAAUACAGCCAUGUUAUAUGACACAGUGGAAUUUAGACCAAAAAAGAUGAUGGGUUGUGGCUUGUCAUGAUCCCUUUGAGCCAUUGUAAAACAAAUUAUGCAUCUAUUUUACAAAUUCUAUCUCACCUAAGAAGAAAAUAGGGAUAAAAAAUGUCCCAAAUUGAGUCACCUGAGAAUUUAUAGGCCAGCUGGUCAGCAGUCCCACCGACCUCUUUCUCAUGUGAUUCUACAACUAACAAAUACAGGUUAGAAAUCAAAGGAUUUUUAAAAAAUGGAUUGAUGUUUUUCCCAAGUUCGACAACAUCGGCUACUAGAGUCGCACCAUCUUCAAUUUUCCCAUUGAAAAUGCAGUUCGAGAGAGAAUAAAAGCCAAGCAAAUUUGCAUAUAGAGGUAGAAAUGCAUCUUUGUGGUUACCCACGCCGCCUAUCCAGUCAAUUCCUAGCAUCUCAACAUGGUCCUUGGCAAAUGAAAUCAGCUGAUUUUGGAAUCUCAUUCUCAAGUUGUAUAAAUAAUUCCUGAACUCUUGUUUGGUUGGAAUUUCACCCAACAAUAAUUUUAGAACUGGAAGCUUCUCCAAAUGGGAGCAACAAAUUUGACAGAUCAACAACUUCUCUUCAUGAUGAUUAUCAAUUUCCUUGUCAAACACACGCCUUACAAGGUCUCCUUUUGAUACCACAUAAUUUGCAGCAUCAAAUACCCACUUUGAAAGAUAAUCAAAGUAAUCGAUCCAGUGACCAAAGAUAGAAGACAGAUACUCAAAACUCAAUUCAAUCACUUUCUCCACUUGGGUUGGGACCUCUCUAGCAAUAGAGCUGCUUCUAGUUCUUUUUGAAGAAAAGCAUUUCUGCACAUUCGAGGCUAGCAUUUGUCUUACCGCAUCAUCUUCAUCCUCCAGCAACCUAAUGCAUGUGAACCAUAUUUCCAGCACCUGAAUAGCAUACAUAUUAACAGCUUCUUUUGGUUCAAAAUGGAGACCUGAAAUGUCAAAAGGGAUUUCAUGAGAGAACACAGAAGAACUGAUAAAUUCAGCUUGUUCCAGCAGACCCGAUGCAAUUAUAGAUUCAGCAGCUGCCUUGCGCAUGUUCACUGGCUCAGAUGUAGAACUAUGUUCUUUAAUCAGAUUAACAAAAAAGGUAAUACAUUCAUACAAGUGGGCUGAUCUCUCCAAUUGAUCCAUGUCAUUACAUCUAGCACUGCUCUCCAUGUAGGCAACAACAUAUCUGGUUAACAAACUUGCAUACCUCUUCACACAUAUAGCCAUGCAGCAGAUGAGUGUUUCUCGAAUCUUCAUAUGUCUUGUGAGCUUGUACAAAGAUAUCAGCUUAUCCCAAAACUCAGACAAGGAAUCAAAAUCCAACGUACCAAGAUAGCUACUGUUGGCAUAUUUUUCAUCACUAAGCUUCUUAAACUGCAGUAAGUUCCAAAAGAAGAGAAUCCUCAGAAUGUAAUAUGUACAUCUAUGAUUCUUCUCACAUUCUAAGAGCUUUGACAUUGUUGCCUGGAGAUCUGAAUUAGUCCAGCGCUGAAUAAUUCUAAUCUCACUGCUAGACACAUGAUGAACCUCACUGCUAGAUUCUGUAGACUUUAGGAACUCCACCAGCCACUUCAAUGUUGCAAGUCGAACUUCAUAUGAUGAAUCUGACAAGGAACGAAUCAGUCUCUCCUGUAGACCUGAAAAAAUGCUUUUUUCAGUUGGGCUCAACAAUUUUGAAUCAGGUGAUAGGUGCACGCGUGGCAUCUGAAGAACCUCUUCAGCUUCUUCUUUAGAUGCCUGGAACACACAACUGAAGUAGGAGACAGCUGCCUGUUCACGAAGUUCUGCUAUAGUUGGAUCAUAAUAUGGAAGUCCAUAAGAAUCUUCUACAUCUAGGCAUUCUGUAGAUAGCUCCAACAGCAGAUCAUGAAUGGCAUAAAAUUUUUCACUCAUAUAGCCUGUUCUUGCAAUACUGAGCAUGUGAUCAAGCAUUCUCACAAAAGAGGCAUUAAUAAUGGGGCAAGGACACAGUUUGGGGCUUGCAAUCCAUGAACGUGUAGCAAGAACUUGGAUCAAGUCCCCAAGAAUCUUUUCUUUCUUUGCAAUAUCAGGCAGGUUUCUACAAUUUGCAUCCAGAAGAGAACUCAGCUGCAAUAGCAUUCCAUGAAUGGAAUUAAAGGAAGCACGGUAGGCUCCACCUGUGAUUUGAUUAUCUGUGCAAGGCAAUUCAGAAGCAACAUUCAGGAGGAGCAUUGGAAGUUUCUCAUUGGAUACCAGACCCAUUAAAGCUUUAGAUGCAAGAACACGGACUUGCAGGUUGCUCUGAAUUGAGCACCUCCUGAUGAAUGGCAUAAACAGGAAAGGAUCCAGAUCAUCUCCAGUCUCACUUGCAAUUGCUGAAGGCU
rnacentral:misc_RNA from 1 species